AUUCCUGUAUCUUGUUGUAGGCUACGGUGGUUUCGGUCUUAUCGGCAUUAAUCAACAGGUAGUUGGCGGGGGUGUGGUUCUCGUCGUACAGCGUGGUUACUUUAGUUACGAGGUCUAUUGUACCGGUCCUGGUUUGCGGAUUGUAGUAAGAACCUACUUUCGAGAAGUCGUAGCGGAAUGUGAAAUCGGCGUCUUCAUAUUUUUUCAGUUUCUCUUUCAUCUCUUUCGGGAAGUUCCACAGGCGGAUGAUGUCUGGCUUCCAGGCGAGAAUUUUUUCCUUCAUGUUGAGGAACACUUCCGACAGGGAUUGCCCCGACAGCGUGCUGCGGCCCAGGCCAAUAAAGUUGUCGCCGCCCAGAAUGUCCAGCACGGUGGCGCCGUUAUCCAUGGAGUUGCGUUUGGUGGCGAUCUCCUCCUGCUGCGGCUGGUCGCCGCGCAGGACGAAGAACAGGUUGCUGCGAUCCUGCUUGUUGAGCUGAUCCCACGCGCUGUUUUUCAUCGCCAGAUGGUCAGUGUCGGGAUGUAUGUCUCGGUGUCGUAGUUAACGCGUUAAGCAUCCCGCCUGGGGAGUACGGUCGCAAGGCUGAAACUCAAAGAAAUUGACGGGGGCCCGCACAAGCGGUGGAGUAUGUGGUUUAAUUCGAUGCAACGCGAAGAACCUUACCUAGGUUUGACAUCUGGGGAACCCUCCCGAAAAGGAGGGGUGCCCUUCGGGGAGCCCCAAGACAGGUGCUGCAUGGCUGUCGUCAGCUCGUGUCGUGAGAUGUUGGGUUAAGUCCCGCAACGAGCGCAACCCCUAUGCAUAGUUGCCAGCAAGUAAAGUUGGGCACUCUAUGCAGACUGCCCGGGUUAACCGGGAGGAAGGUGGGGACGACGUCAAGUCAUCAUGGCCCUUACACCUAGGGCUACACACGUACUACAAUGGCACGCACAAAGGGCAGCGAUACCGUGAGGUGGAGCCAAUCCCAAAAAACGUGUCCCAGUCCGGAUUGCAGUCUGCAACUCGACUGCAUGAAGUCGGAAUCGCUAGUAAUUCGAGGUCAGCAUACUCGGGUGAAUGCGUUCCCGGGCCUUGUACACACCGCCCGUCACACCACGAAAGUCGGUUUUACCCGAAGCCGGUGAGCCAACUAGCAAUAGAGGCAGCCGUCUACGGUAGGGCCGAUGAUUGGGGUGAAGUCGUAACAAGGUAGCCGUAGGGGAACCUGCGGCUG
rnacentral:rRNA from 1 species